UGGCUCAGAGGUUAAAGCUUCUGCCUGCAAGGCAGGAGACCGGGGUUCAAUCCCUG
rfam:TPA: Bos taurus chromosome 1, whole genome shotgun sequence.